AUUGAACGCUCGCGGCAGGCUUAACACAUGCAAGUCGAGCGAGCGGCGGACGGGUGAGUAAGGUAUGGGAAAAUGCCUGAUGGCGGGGGAUAACUACUGGAAACGGUAGCUAAUACCGCAUACCAUCCGAUGCACACAUAUGGGAUGAGCUUGUAGGUGAGGUAACGGUGCACCUAGGCGACGAGCCCUAGCUGGUCUGAGAGGAUGAUCUGCCACACUGUGACGGAGAAACGGCCCAGACGCCGACGGGAGGCAGCUGUGGGGAAUAUUGAACAAUGGGAGCAAGCCGGAUGCAGCCUGGCCGCGUGUAUGAAGAAGGCCUUCGGGUUGUAAAGUCCUUUCAGUCGGGAGGCGUGACCGACAGAAGAAGCACCGGCUAACUCCGUGCCAGCAGCCGCGGUAAUUC
rnacentral:rRNA from 1 species